rnacentral:lncRNA from 1 species
GCUGCUGAAUUUCCUUCACCAACAGCUCUCCAUAAACAUGACCAAGAGUCUCAGUGGUUGCAUGCUGCGUCUCUCGACCACCUAGCCUGGUUGAGGCUCCAGUGGAGCUCUCUGCAGGACAAGAAGUGUGUGGAGGCUGAGCAGCCCUUUGAGGUGCAAGUGUUCUCGAGGCACUCCCAUUGGAGCACAUCUGUUAAGAUCCGGGAGCCUGUCGAAAACAUUGAGCCAAGUGGAUGUGCUGGCAUUUCUGGAAGCUGCCUGCUAUUGUGCGAACGAGGCUCUGAAGCGCAAGGCCUUCCGUCCCGGCCAAGGGCCCCUGGCACUCCCACCUCAUGUAGGAGUGCAGCUGUGCACAGGUCCUCAGUCUGACUGGUGGAAGGCUGC